UGCAGUCGGACGAGAAGGUACCUUCGGGUACUGGAGAGUGGCGCACGGGUGAGUAACGCGUGGGGACCUACCUCUUAGUGGGGGAUAACGGUUGGAAACGACCGCUAAUACCGCAUACGCCCUUCGGGGGAAAGAUUUAUCGCUAAGAGAUGGACCCGCGUUGGAUUAGAUAGUUGGUGAGGUAACGGCUCACCAAGUCGGCGAUCCAUAGCUGGUUUGAGAGGAUGAUCAGCCACACUGGGACUGAGACACGGCCCAGACUCCUACGGGAGGCAGCAGUGGGGAAUAUUGGACAAUGGGGGCAACCCUGAUCCAGCCAUGCCGCGUGAGUGAAGAAGGCCUUCGGGUUGUAAAGCUCUUUCAGAUGCGAAGAUGAUGACGGUAACAUCAGAAGAAGCCCCGGCUAAUUUCGUGCCAGCUG
rnacentral:rRNA from 1 species